UUAAGAUGCAUGGACGAAAACAUUAGUUAGUUUUAGCUGUAAUUUUCAACUCCAACUGUUAUUAUCAGGGUACUCAUUACUGACCUUUUCUUUUUUGGGGGGGUUGUUUCUCUUAGAUCGAUCUGACACCCCCACCUCUUGGCGAAGGUUCAUCUUAUAAAGGACUUCUCAAGGAUUUACGUCCAUCGUUAGACUGGUCUCCUGAACAUGGUUGGACAGUACCUACUCAGGUUUGUCAUAACAUCUCUUCUAAUAUUGUCUUUGUUCACCUUGAAGAAAUGAGUAGUUUGCUUGGCGCGGAACUGUUUUUGGUUAUUUUAUUGCGAUAUAGUAUAAGCCCACGUUUGGUUGGGCAUGUUUAGAGGUUGGAAAGGGAUUCAAUACUUGUUGUUUGGUUUGAGUAAUGAGUUAACCAUUACCCUUACUUGAGGGUAACCCAAUCACCCAAUUUGUUACCCUUCAAAAUAGAGGGGAAACAAAAGAAAAUGAAUCCCUUACUAAUGAUUCAUUUCCAUUGUUUAACCAAACAUUCAAUAAAAGUAAUGGUUAUUGUUAUCAUUCCACUCCUUUAUUUGAUUCCAUUUCCUUUCCAUUCCUCUACUUGAACCAAACGAGCACUAAUAGUAUUUUGCAAUAGUGGUCUAUGUUUAGGGAAGUUUUGAGUUGUAUAAGCAAUUCAUUUAGAUUAAUUUUCGAGUUGCAAUGCCUUCUCCUAAUAUGUAGUAAACUGCGUAAUAUAAAAUAUCCAUGUUGGCUGAUCUGUAAAUACAAACAUAAAUUGGAUAUAAGGCAGCGGAAGGUCAUUGUUUUUAAUUUGUAGAUUCUCUCUACUGUUCGACUUUUACUUUUCCGUUUCUUGUAAUUAUUGAUCAUCUAAUUUCACCUUCAACAUUAAGGUUUAGUAGUUAUCCUCCAAGUUCAUGUUCAUAAAUGUUUCAUGUAUUCAGUUUUUCUGUAAGGUCUGAAAGUAGAAUUAACUAAAGAAUAAAAGAUAAUAUAAUUCCAUAUUAAAGCAUUAUUUAUGUUACUAUAUCAUCCACCACCAUUUGCAGAUCAUUUGAGCCUCACUCAUAGGCUUAUACUUGUACAAUAUGAUGCUCUACAUUCUUGAUGUCUUCAUUUACUAAAAUGAUAACUUUUCUUUUCUUAUUUACAAAUUGCAGGAAGAUGACACCGGUCAUCGUUGUGCUCGCAUUAUCAAACCUGUAAAUCAAGGUACGAAGCAACAAAAUACAAUCAG
rnacentral:lncRNA from 1 species